rnacentral:rRNA from 1 species
UGCGCAGGUGGGCUUGUAAGUCAGUGGUGAAAUCUUGCCGCUUAACGGUAAAAUUGCCAUUGAUACUGAAGUUCUUGAAUAUGGUUGAGGUAGGCGGAAUGUGUUGUGUAGCGGUGAAAUGCAUAGAUAUGACACAGAACGCCGAUUGCGAAGGCAGCUUACUAAGCCAUUAUUGACGCUGAGGCACGAAAGCGUGGGGAGCGAACAGGAUUAGAUACCCUGGUAGUCC